rnacentral:rRNA from 1 species
UACACUCCUACGGGAGGCAGCAGUGGGGAAUAUUGCACAAUGGGCGCAAGCCUGAUGCAGCCAUGCCGCGUGUAUGAAGAAGGCCUUCGGGUUGUAAAGUACUUUCAGCGGGGAGGAAGGCGAUAAGGUUAAUAACCUUGUCGAUUGACGUUACCCGCAGAAGAAGCACCGGCUAACUCCGUGCCAGCAGCCGCGGUAAUACGGAGGGUGCAAGCGUUAAUCGGAAUUACUGGGCGUAAAGCGCACGCAGGCGGUCUGUCAAGUCGGAUGUGAAAUCCCCGGGCUCAACCUGGGAACUGCAUUCGAAACUGGCAGGCUAGAGUCUUGUAGAGGGGGGUAGAAUUCCAGGUGUAGCGGUGAAAUGCGUAGAGAUCUGGAGGAAUACCGGUGGCGAAGGCGGCCCCCUGGACAAAGACUGACGCUCAGGUGCGAAAGCGUGGGGAGCAAACAGGAUUAGAUACCCCAGUAGUCCCAUGAU